ACUCUCUGAGACCAUGAGCCAAACAGAGAUCGAACUCGGGACCUUGCGCUUGCGAGGCAGGCGGCAGCACCACCGACUCGGCCCCCGGCCCUGCCUUUGUUUUACCUUCAUACAGCUGCAGAGGGACGACAGCUCUCCUUCGGCAUCUCCCUCCAAGAAGCUGCUCCUGUCUGUGACCACGGCGAUGGUGCGCGCGUUUCUUCCCCGUCACGAGAGAGGAGAAUAUCUCGGCGGCUCCGUGCUGGGACCAUUGAAACGCUGCUGGGGUCCUUGGGGGCCGAGCUGUGAGUAGACUGUCAAGAACACACCACGCUGAGUCUUGUGUGCCGAAGCCGGGCUCUGUAGCCAGAGAAAUCCCACAGAGCAGAAGCCAGUUCUCACGGCCCUUCCUGGAACAGGAGGCCGCGGGGUUGGGGUGACUUUGUCCAAAGCUGGGGUGGGGUUUACACAGAGGAAGACACACAGUGAUUUUUCUCUUUUGCG